GUGAGGAAUAUUGGACAAUGGGCGCAAGCCUGAUCCAGCCAUGCCGCGUGCAGGAAGACGCAUCUAUGGUGUGUAAACUGCUUUUGUACGGGAAGAAACACUCCCUCGUGAGGGAGCUUGACGGUACCGUAAGAAUAAGGAUCGGCUAACUCCGUGCCAGCAGCCGCGGUAAUACGGAGGAUCCAAGCGUUAUCCGGAAUCAUUGGGUUUAAAGGGUCCGUAGGCGGUUUAAUAAGUCAGUGGUGAAAGCCCAUCACUCAACGAUGGAACGGCCAUUGAUACUGUUAGACUUGAAUUACAAGGAAGUAACUAGAAUAUGUAGUGUAGCGGUGAAAUGCUUAGAUAUUACAUGGAAUACCAAUUGCGAAGGCAGGUUACUACUUGUGGAUUGACGCUGAUGGACGAAAGCGUGGGGAGCGAACAGGAUUAGAAACCCCGGUAGUCC
rnacentral:rRNA from 1 species